rnacentral:rRNA from 1 species
AUUGAACGCUGGCGGCAUGCCUAACACAUGCAAGUCGAACGGCAGCACAAUAAAGAUUUCGGUCUUUAUGGGUGGCGAGUGGCGGACGGGUGAGUAACGCGUAGGAAUCUGUCCUGGAGAGUGGGAUAACCCGAGGAAACUCGGGCUAAUACUGCAUGACAUUGAGAGAUCAAAAGCAGGGGACCGAAAGGCCUUGCGCUCUGGGGUGAGCCUACGUCGGAUUAGCUAGUUGGUGGGGUAAAGGCCUACCAAGGCGACGAUCCGUAGCUGGUCUGAGAGGAUGACCAGCCACACUGGGACUGAGGCACGGCCCAGACUCCUACGGGAGGCAGCAGUGGGGAAUCUUGGACAAUGGGGGAAACCCUGAUCCAGCGAUGCCGCGUGUGUGAAGAAGGCCUUCGGGUUGUAAAGCACUUUAGGUGGGGAAGAAAGGUAGCGAGUGAAUAACUUUCUGCUGUGACGGUACCCACAGAAUAAGCACCGGCUAACUCUGUGCCAGCCGCCGCUGUAA